GUUUAACGGCCGCGGUAUCCCAACCGCGCGAAGGUAGCGAAAUCACUUGUUUUUUAAAUGGAGACCAGUAUGAACGGCUUUACGAGGGCCAAACUGUCUCCUUUUUCCAGUCAAUGAAAUUGAUUUUCCCGUGCAGAAGCGGGAAUACCACCAUAAGACGAGAAGACCCUAUGGAGCUUCAGACAAGGCAGCCCACUUAAAGUAAACCAAGUUAAUGAAAAAUAAAAUGGCCCUGCCCCUAUGUCUUUGGUUGGGGCGACCAUGGAGUAACAAAAAACCUCCACGUGGAAGGACACCCUCAAAACAGAGCCACAGCUCUCAUAAACAGAAAAUCUGACCAACAGACCCGGCAAGGCCGAUCAACGGAAUGAGUUACCCUAGGGAUAACAGCGCAAUCCUCUUUUAGAGCCCAUAUCGACAAGAGGGUUUACGACCUCGAUGUUGGAUCAGGACCCCCUAAUGGUGCAGCCGCUAUUAAGGG
rnacentral:rRNA from 1 species